rnacentral:rRNA from 1 species
GUGUCAGCAGCCGCGGUAACACGUAGGAGGCGAGCGUUGUCCGGAAUCAUUGGGCGUAAAGAGCGCGCAGGCGGCCCGGCAAGUCGGGUGUGAAAUCUCGGGGCUCAACCCCGGAACUGCAUCCGAUACUGCCGGGCUAGAGGUAGGUAGGGGAGAUCGGAAUUCCUGGUGUAGCGGUGAAAUGCGCAGAUAUCAGGAGGAACACCGGUGGCGAAGGCGGAUCUCUGGGCCUUACCUGACGCUCAGGCGCGAAAGCUAGGGGAGCGAACAGGAUUAGAUACCCCUGUAGUCC